rnacentral:lncRNA from 1 species
UUUGGAAUAUUUUUAGAAGGAAUGGUACCAGCUCUUCUUUGUACCUCUAGUAGAAUUCGGCUCUGAAUUUGGUUCCACUCUCCCCAUCACUUUCAGGUACACCAACCAAAGGAAAAACAUCCAGGCAAGUGGACAGCAUUUGCAACAGCCCAGCAAUAAGAAGGACCAUAUUCUACUUGGGAAAAGGUAAAGUCGUUUCAUAUGGACGGAGCCUGCCAGGAAACCUGUCAUUCAACCCUUUGCAAUAAAACAGCUCCUCAUGAAUGAAGCAAAAUAAAUCAGAAGUUGUGGGCUUUUAAACUCACUAAAUGAAAGCACAGCAUGCAUGCAGCCUCCCUCCAAAUUAAUCACCAGAUUAAAUGCAAGAUGUGCACACCAAAUCAAUAGCUUGUGACGGGGACCUCCUGCCUGUGCUUCAGGAAAAUUCCAUUUCCUUUCAGAUGUUGUCGCUUGAAAUGUCAGGAAGUUUCCAUUCAUCACCCGCCCUUGAAAAUGCCACCAUCACCAUACUUCAUGUUUCCUUGCUUUCUUUCUUCAGAGGAAUCCAAGCACCUUGCAGAGGGAGCCCACUCCUUGUCACAG